rnacentral:rRNA from 1 species
AACGAACGCUGGCGGCGUGUUUAAGACAUGCAAGUCGCACGGGGCGGAGGUGGUAGCGAUAUUGCUUCCGUUCAGUGGCGCACGGGUGAGUAACACGUGAAUGACAUGCCCUUCAGUGGGGGAUAGCCCAGGGAAACUUGGAUUAAUACCCCAUGGUCUCGCGAGAGUAAAGGCGGCGCAAGCUGCCGCUGGAGGAUUGGUUCGCGUUCUAUCAGCUAGUUGGCGGGUAACGCCCACCAAGGCGACGACGGAUACCUGGUCUGAGAGGACGAUCAGGCACACUGGAACUGAGACACGGUCCAGACACCUACGGGUGGCAG